UUUCCGUAGGUGAACCUGCGGAAGGAUCAUUAUUGUACAAUUGAGGUGCAAAGGCUGUCGCUGACCUUUCAAAGGUCGUGCACGCCCAAAGCACUCUCACCCACAAUCCAUUUCACCCCUUUGUGCAUCACCGCGUGGGCCCCCCCCAUCACAAGAGGGCUUGCGUUUUCACAUAACACUUUGUUUAUAGUAUAGAAUGUUUUUGCUUUUGCAGUCACACGCAAUCAAUACAACUUUCAACAAUGGAUCUCUUGGCUCUC
rnacentral:misc_RNA from 1 species